rnacentral:rRNA from 1 species
GUAAUGUAGUAGGUAACUUCGCCUAGUAGUGGGGGACAACGUGUGGAAACGCACGCUAAUACCGCAUACGCUCUACGGAGGAAAGCGGGGGAUCUUCGGACCUCGUGCUACUAGAUGGGCCUAUAUUGGAUUAGCUAGUUGGUAGGGUAAAGGCCUACCAAGGCGACGAUCCAUAGCUGGUUUGAGAGAAUGAUCAGCCACACUGGGACUGAGACACGGCCCAG